ACACACACACACACACAACCAACAAUACCUCUCCGUCUUCGUCUUCCGAAUCCCACCAACGCCAAGCCGCCGAUGACUUCCACCAGUCCACACGCUCUUUUCCCUCCAUCACUCUGUCAAUCGUCUCUCUCCGCCAUACCCACCGCCACUCCCCUCUCUAUUUUGAUUUCGGGUUCUCUCUCUCAUUCGUCCAGGGCAUGAAGUACUUGGAUGAAAAUGAGUGAGUCUGAAAGUGCUUUUGGAGGUUUUAAGAUACCAUACCCACAUCCAAAAUAUGCUCUUUCAAACUCAACUGAGACGACAUGAAAAGACUUUAAGCAAUCAAUCUCGAACCUAUCUUUGGCCUUUGUUUUGUUUGAUUGGAAAUGGU